rnacentral:rRNA from 1 species
UACAGAGGUGGCAAGCGUUGUUCGGAAUCACUGGGCGUAAAGGGCGUGUAGGCGGUCAGGUAAGUGGGAUGUGAAAUGCCUCGGCUCACCCGGGGACCUGCAUCCCAAACUGCCUGGCUUGAGUAUGGGAGAGGAUGAGGGAAUUCCUGGUGUAGCGGUGAAAUGCGUAGAUAUCAGGAGGAACACCGGUGGCGAAAGCGCUCAUCUGGCCCAAUACUGACGCUGAGGCGCGAAAGCUAGGGGAGCAAACGGG